UCCGUAGGCGGGCGAUUAAGUCAGAGGUGAAAUCCCACAGCUUAACUGUGGAACUGCCUUUGAUACUGGUUGUCUUGAGUUACAGUGAAGUAGAUAGAAUAUGUAGUGUAGCGGUGAAAUGCAUAGAUAUUACAUAGAAUACCGAUUGCGAAGGCAGUCUACUAACUGUUGACUGACGCUAAUGGACGAAAGCGUGGGGAGCGAACA
rnacentral:rRNA from 1 species